UACGUAGGAGGCAAGCGUUGUCCGGAAUUACUGGGCGUAAAGCGCGUGUAGGUGGUGGGACAAGUCUGCUGUGAAAGCGCCUGGCUUAACCGGGCGAGGUCGGCGGAAACUGUCCGACUUGAGGACGGUAGAGGGGGGUGGAAUUCCCCGGUGUAGUGGUGAAAAUGCGUAGAGAUCGGGAGGAACACCUGUGGCGAAGGCGGCCCCCUGGGCCGGCCCUGACACUGAGACGCGAAGGCGUGGGGAGCGAACGGG
rnacentral:rRNA from 1 species